AGACGUGGCCUUCUGUGGCUUUCAGGGAGAGAGCUGUCACACCAUCCCCACAGGAUAUUUGCUCAAGUUAAUUGGCUCACCAAGGCGUUGGUGUAGACAGGUGGACCUCACGGAACAGUCUGCUCCUGGUCCCAGGAGUCCUUCUCAGGAUGGUUGGAGACUUCCACCUGCCACAGCCCUCAGGUCUGCAAGCAGCCAGCUAAGUCCGCUGACUUGAGCAAUUCCCCAGUGCUUCCAGAAGCACCCCUAAUUCCUGGUUCACACCAAGAUCUGUGAUGUUCAAUCCCUUCACGGUACCAAGUCUUCUGAAGCUGGAAAGGUGGCUCAGCUGCUAAAAGAACUCACUGCUCUCCCAGAGGGCCUAAAUUCAGUUCCAGGCAUCCACAUCUGAUGGCUCACAACUGCCUGCAACUCCAGCUCCAGGUGAAUCCAACUCCUCUCUGGCACAUACACAUAAUUAAAUUAAAAACAAAUAAAAAGAGGUCUUCCUAGUAGGAUGUGGUGGCCCAAACCUGUGUUUUCAACCAUU